GGGGAGGACCGGGGGAGGAGAAGUCCCCCCCAACACCUGGAGUACCGGGACCACCGAAGUCUGAGAACCCGGCAGACUGAGCAGGAUAGGACGGAGCUGAGGACAGAUCAAUACAACGAUCAAUACAGAACUUCCACUGAAGGUUGAAGUGUUCUUACUUCUGGACGUAGAUGAGGAUCCCCAGCAUGUACUGGUCCACCUCCAGACCCUCCAGAAGAGCCGUUUUACUGAACAGAACCAAACACAUGCUGGUUAUUCUACUGGAGGUGGAGGUAGGUCAUCAUCAGAGACGCUGGUUAGGAGAUGUUCUUAUCAUGUAUAUUAUUACUAUAUUAUUAAUAUUGGAUAUGUGUGAUGAGAUGUUAUUGUUGUAUAUUAUUAUUUUUCUACUAUAUUUUAUAUGUUGAAAUGUUCCUACUUGCAGACGGGACACCUCCAGGUUCCUCUCUCACAGUUCAGCUGCAGAUACGACUCCAGAUCAAAGCACUGGAAACAAACAGAUCAAUCAUUAAACCUGGGCCUGAUCAAUAGGACCGAUCGGUUAUCAGCUGUGAUUGGUGGGUUAUGGACAGGGCUGUGAUUGGUGGGUUAUGGACAGGGCUGUGAUUGGUGGGUUAUGGACAGGGCUGUGAUUGGUGGGUUAUGGACAGGGCUGUGAUUGGUGGGUUAUGGGUAGGGCUGUGAUUGGUGGGUUAUGGACAGGGCUGUGAUUGGUGGGUUAUGGACAGGGCUGUGAUUGGUGGGUUAUGGACAGGGCUGUGAUUGGUGGGUUAUGGACAGGGCUGUGAUUGGUGGGUUAUGGACAGGGCUGUGAUUGGUGGGUUAUGGGUAGGGCUGUGAUUGGUGGGUUAUGGACAGGGCUGUGAUUGGUGGGUUAUGGACAGGGCUGUGAUUGGUGGGUUAUGGGUAGGGCUGUGAUUGGUCGUUUAUGGGCAGGGCUGUGAUUGGUGGGUUAUGGGUAGGGCUGUGAUUGGUGGGUUAUGGGCAGGGCUGUGAUUGGCUCCCACCUGGACGUGUCGACAGUCGUGUCCUCUGGCUGGCAGCUGGAUGCGGCGGAACGUGAUUGGACACUUGAGGGAGACUCUGAUGGCCGUCUGCUCCACUCCGUCCUCUCCGUUUAACCCGGGGGUCCCAGGGAUGGAGCCGCUGCUGAAGUUCCUCUUUACUGAAACACACAGUACUGCAUUAGUACUACUAGUACUACUACUACUCGUACCACUAACUCUACUAGUACUACUAAUACUGAAACACAGAUUACUUUACUGGGUCUGAAUUAGUACUACUAGUACUACUAAUAGUAGUAGUCCUAUGAGUAUUAGUCCUACUAGUAGUACUACUACUAGUAGGACUAAUACUGUGAUCAACAGAGAAUUUAAUUCAAAGGUCCAACAUCUCAACAGAAACCUGCUAAUCAGCUCAUAAACCAGCUGAUACUACUAGUACUAUUAGUGCUACUGAUACUACUAAUACUGAGCUGGGACUAGUACUAAUAGUACUACAGGGUUCCCAUUCUUUCCCUGAAAUGAUUUUCCAGGACUUUUCCAGGACUUUUCCAGGACUUUUCCAGGACAUUUCCAGCCACUACAGAGACGUUAUCACGUCAGACACUAAUACAUUCCCGUCCCCCUCAUUCUUUGGAAGUGUUCUUUACUACAGCUGUAACUUGCAUUUACCCAGAUUGUUUCUAUAUUUAUUACUCAGACAUUUGAUGUGCAGUCUAUGGCUAUAAUUUAUCCAUGAAAAAUAAUUAUGACAACUGUGUGAUAGAAUAAUGCAAACACACCCACAGAUUACAGCGUAGCGCUUCACUAGCAUGACAAACUGGAGUUACAGUGUUCAACUGGGUAAUUCCCAACUCAACUUUCUCUUCUCUCUUACUUUCUCUGGUGCAAUUCAUUUAAAAAUAUUUGUAUAUUUUCAAUAAAUCACUGAAAAACUA